GGUUAAGCGACUAAGCGUACACGGUGGAUGCCCUGGCAGUCAGAGGCGAUGAAGGACGUGCUAAUCUGCGAUAAGCGUCGGUAAGGUGAUAUGAACCGUUAUAACCGGCGAUUUCCGAAUGGGGAAACCCAGUGUGACUCGUCACACUAUCAUUAACUGAAUCCAUAGGUUAAUGAGGCGAACCGGGGGAACUGAAACAUCUAAGUACCCCGAGGAAAAGAAAUCAACCGAGAUUCCCCCAGUAGCGGCGAGCGAACGGGGAGCAGCCCAGAGCCUGAAUCAGUGUGUGUGUUAGUGGAAGCGUCUGGAAAGGCGCGCGAUACAGGGUGACAGCCCCGUACACAAAAAUGCACAUACUGUGAGCUCGAUGAGUAGGGCGGGACACGUGGUAUCCUGUCUGAAUAUGGGGGGACCAUCCUCCAAGGCUAAAUACUCCUGACUGACCGAUAGUGAACCAGUACCGUGAGGGAAAGGCGAAAAGAACCCCGGCGAGGGGAGUGAAAAAGAACCUGAAACCGUGUACGUACAAGCAGUGGGAGCCUCUUUAUGGGGUGACUGCGUACCUUUUGUAUAAUGGGUCAGCGACUUAUAUUCUGUAGCAAGGUUAACCGAAUAGGGGAGCCGAAGGGAAACCGAGUCUUAACUGGGCGUUAAGUUGCAGGGUAUAGACCCGAAACCCGGUGAUCUAGCCAUGGGCAGGUUGAAGGUUGGGUAACACUAACUGGAGGACCGAACCGACUAAUGUUGAAAAAUUAGCGGAUGACUUGUGGCUGGGGGUGAAAGGCCAAUCAAACCGGGAGAUAGCUGGUUCUCCCCGAAAGCUAUUUAGGUAGCGCCUCGUGAAUUCAUCUCCGGGGGUAGAGCACUGUUUCGGCAAGGGGGUCAUCCCGACUUACCAACCCGAUGCAAACUGCGAAUACCGGAGAAUGUUAUCACGGGAGACACACGGCGGGUGCUAACGUCCGUCGUGAAGAGGGAAACAACCCAGACCGCCAGCUAAGGUCCCAAAGUCAUGGUUAAGUGGGAAACGAUGUGGGAAGGCCCAGACAGCCAGGAUGUUGGCUUAGAAGCAGCCAUCAUUUAAAGAAAGCGUAAUAGCUCACUGGUCGAGUCGGCCUGCGCGGAAGAUGUAACGGGGCUAAACCAUGCACCGAAGCUGCGGCAGCGACGCUUAUGCGUUGUUGGGUAGGGGAGCGUUCUGUAAGCCUGUGAAGGUGUACUGUGAGGUAUGCUGGAGGUAUCAGAAGUGCGAAUGCUGACAUAAGUAACGAUAAAGCGGGUGAAAAGCCCGCUCGCCGGAAGACCAAGGGUUCCUGUCCAACGUUAAUCGGGGCAGGGUGAGUCGACCCCUAAGGCGAGGCCGAAAGGCGUAGUCGAUGGGAAACAGGUUAAUAUUCCUGUACUUGGUGUUACUGCGAAGGGGGGACGGAGAAGGCUAUGUUGGCCGGGCGACGGUUGUCCCGGUUUAAGCGUGUAGGCUGGUUUUCCAGGCAAAUCCGGAAAAUCAAGGCUGAGGCGUGAUGACGAGGCACUACGGUGCUGAAGCAACAAAUGCCCUGCUUCCAGGAAAAGCCUCUAAGCAUCAGGUAACAUCAAAUCGUACCCCAAACCGACACAGGUGGUCAGGUAGAGAAUACCAAGGCGCUUGAGAGAACUCGGGUGAAGGAACUAGGCAAAAUGGUGCCGUAACUUCGGGAGAAGGCACGCUGAUAUGUAGGUGAAGCGACUUGCUCGUGGAGCUGAAAUCAGUCGAAGAUACCAGCUGGCUGCAACUGUUUAUUAAAAACACAGCACUGUGCAAACACGAAAGUGGACGUAUACGGUGUGACGCCUGCCCGGUGCCGGAAGGUUAAUUGAUGGGGUUAGCGGUAACGCGAAGCUCUUGAUCGAAGCCCCGGUAAACGGCGGCCGUAACUAUAACGGUCCUAAGGUAGCGAAAUUCCUUGUCGGGUAAGUUCCGACCUGCACGAAUGGCGUAAUGAUGGCCAGGCUGUCUCCACCCGAGACUCAGUGAAAUUGAACUCGCUGUGAAGAUGCAGUGUACCCGCGGCAAGACGGAAAGACCCCGUGAACCUUUACUAUAGCUUGACACUGAACAUUGAGCCUUGAUGUGUAGGAUAGGUGGGAGGCUUUGAAGUGUGGACGCCAGUCUGCAUGGAGCCGACCUUGAAAUACCACCCUUUAAUGUUUGAUGUUCUAACGUUGGCCCCUGAUCGGGGUUGCGGACAGUGUCUGGUGGGUAGUUUGACUGGGGCGGUCUCCUCCUAAAGAGUAACGGAGGAGCACGAAGGUUGGCUAAUCCUGGUCGGACAUCAGGAGGUUAGUGCAAUGGCAUAAGCCAGCUUGACUGCGAGCGUGACGGCGCGAGCAGGUGCGAAAGCAGGUCAUAGUGAUCCGGUGGUUCUGAAUGGAAGGGCCAUCGCUCAACGGAUAAAAGGUACUCCGGGGAUAACAGGCUGAUACCGCCCAAGAGUUCAUAUCGACGGCGGUGUUUGGCACCUCGAUGUCGGCUCAUCACAUCCUGGGGCUGAAGUAGGUCCCAAGGGUAUGGCUGUUCGCCAUUUAAAGUGGUACGCGAGCUGGGUUUAGAACGUCGUGAGACAGUUCGGUCCCUAUCUGCCGUGGGCGCUGGAGAACUGAGGGGGGCUGCUCCUAGUACGAGAGGACCGGAGUGGACGCAUCACUGGUGUUCGGGUUGUCAUGCCAAUGGCACUGCCCGGUAGCUAAAUGCGGAAGAGAUAAGUGCUGAAAGCAUCUAAGCACGAAACUUGCCCCGAGAUGAGUUCUCCCUGACUCCUUGAGAGUCCUGAAGGAACGUUGAAGACGACGACGUUGAUAGGCCGGGUGUGUAAGCGCAGCGAUGCGUUGAGCUAACCGGUACUAAUGAACCGUGAGGCUUAACCUU
rnacentral:rRNA from 1 species